AACGCGAAGAACCUUACCAGCUCUUGACAUGCCCGGUAUGGGCGGGAGAGAUCCCGUUCUUCGGUUCGGCCGGCCGGGACACAGGUGCUGCAUGGCUGUCGUCAGCUCGUGUCGUGAGAUGUUGGGUUAAGUCCCGCAACGAGCGCAACCCUCGUCCUAUGUUGCCAGCGGGUCAUGCCGGGGACUCAUGGGAGACUGCCGGGGUCAACUCGGAGGAAGGUGGGGAUGACGUCAAGUCAUCAUGCCCCUUAUGUCUUGGGCUGCAAACAUGCUACAAUGGCCGGUACAAAGGGCUGCGAGCUCGCGAGGGUAAGCGAAUCCCAUAAAGCCGGUCUCAGUUCGGAUCGGGGUCUGCAACUCGGCCCCGUGAAGCUGGAGUCGCUAGUAAUCGCGGAUCAGCAACGCCGCGGUGAAUACGUUCCCGGGCCUUGUACACACCGCGCAUA
rnacentral:rRNA from 1 species